UGAGGUUUGGCUGCCACCAAAGUUACUUCUAGUCCUUGCUGUCCACUCCUGCCCUCAGUCUGGACCUGCCCAAGGACCCCUGCAAUUAGGCCUCCCAUGCAGAGGUCUGUGAGAGCCCAAGCCAAUUGCUCUAGGCCCCGUGGCUGGCUACUUAUGGGGCACUGUCCUGACCAGCUCUGCUAAGAUGCUCCUGGCCCCUCCCUCCACCCCGUCCAGAGGACGGACCCCCAGCGCCGUGGAGAGGCUGGAAGCCGACAAAGCCAAGUAUGUCAAGACGCACCAGGUGAUAGCUAGGCGACAGGAGCCAGCCCUGCGUGGGAGUCCUGGGCCGCUCACGCCGCACCCCUGCAACGAGCUGGGGCCCCCUGCAUCGCCCAGGACGCCCAGGCCGGUCCGCCGGGGAAGCGGCAGGCGGCUGCCGAGGCCUGAUUCCCUCAUCUUCUACCGCCAGAAGCGGGACUGCAAGGCUUCGGUGAACAAAGAGAACGCCAAGGGCCAGGGUCUGGUGCGGCGCCUCUUUCUGGGUGCCCCGCGAGACGCUGCCCCGAGCAGCCCGGCCUCCACAGAGCGACCUGCGGCUUCAGGGGGUUGGGCUGCGCCCCAGGAUGCCCCGGAAGCGGCGGGAAAGCGGGCGCUGUGUCCCACGUGCUCGCUGCCCCUGUCGGAGAAGGAGCGCUUCUUCAACUACUGCGGCCUGGAGCGCGCGCUGGUGGAGGUGUUGGGCGCAGAGCGCUUCUCCCCGCAGAGCUGGGGGGCCGACGCCAGCCCGCAGGCCGGAACUUCGCCGCCGCCCGGCUCCGGGGACGCCAGCGACUGGACAUCCAGCGACAGGGGCGUGGACAGCCCGGGCGGCGCGGGCGGCGGCGGAGGCUCGGAGGCAGCGGGCUCGGCGAGGGACGGGCGCCCCCCGGUGUCGGUGGUGGAGCGCAACGCGCGCGUCAUCCAGUGGCUGUACGGCUGCCAGCGCGCCCGCGGACCGCCGCGCGAGUCCGAGGUGUGACCACCGCGGCCCCGGAGCCGGCUUCCCUGGGAGUGCCAAGCGCGGGGCUGGCCCCGGACACGGAAAAGGACACCCAUCUUCUGGCGCGCUGGGUGCCUUUGCGUCGAUCCAAACUAGAGCUGGGAGCCGGGAAUAAUGCGCUUUGGGAGCCCGAGGGGGCGUCUGCUCCAGAAACCGGGGUCCACCAGAUCCUAAAAGGCCACGUUCCCGGAGUUUUGCUGCCCCGGUUGUGGUCACUGGAUAUGAAGGGCUGAGAUCCAACCUUUCGGACACAAAAAGAAGGGAACCGGGCCGGGCGCGGUGGCUCAGGCCUGUAAUCCCAGCACUUUGGGAGGCUGAGGAGGGUGGAUCACGGGAUCAGGAGUUCGAGACCAGCCUGGCCAACAUGGGCUCUACUAAAAAUACAAAAAUUAGCUGAGCUUGGAGGCGCGCGCCUGUAAUCCCAGCUACUCGGGAGGCUGAGGCAGGAGAAUCGCUUGAACCCCAGAGGCGGAGGUUGCAGUGAGCCGAGAUCGAGCCAUUGCACUCCAGCCUGGGCAACAGGGCCAGACUCCGUCUCAAAAAAUAAAAAUAAAAAUAAAAAAAAGAAAAGAAGGAAACCUUUCCUGCCAGCCGGCAGGCUCCUGCCACUGCCUCCCUUUCCUGCAAGGACACACAAGGUCGCCUAUUUUCAUCACAGGUUCGCACCUCCAAGCCUUCAUCCUUCAUGCGCCUCCUUCCUUUGCCUGGGUUGCCGUUCCUUUUCUCUCUGCUCUUCCUUCUCGGAGAUAACGUAUAUUCUCCUCCAGGAAGCUUUCCUGAAUGCCCCCAGUCAGCCUCACCUGCUCUAAGCUCCCAAGUACAGUCCUAUUUUGGGGCCUCAAUUUGUCACCUUUUGUGGGACCCGCUGGUAGUCUGGGUUCUCUAGUUAAUCUUUGACCUUUUUCCUAGUACAGGGACGGCGCACAUAGUAGGGCCACAGGCACAGUUUGUUGAAUUAAAUGAGGCUGGAGAGGGCGAUGGACGCAGUCCUCUGGAGCUCUCCAACUUCCUGGAAAGUUGUACCUUAAAUAAAAAA